AUGUCCCUUUGAGAUAGUCAAUUAAAUUUAAAUGAUGUAAAGAAAUUAGCAUGGACCUUGCGCAAUGAUGACAUACACAAAUUGAGAAUUGAUUCAAAUUUUU
rfam:Solanum lycopersicum cultivar Heinz 1706 chromosome 9, whole genome shotgun sequence.